rnacentral:lncRNA from 1 species
GCUUCUCCUCCACACAGACACAGACUAGAGUCACAAGUCACAAGAGGUUAGUUCAUCUAUCCAAGUGCCUUACAAUUAUCCCUUUUCCAAUCUCUCUUUGAGACUUAUGGAAAGCAUACUGCUCUUCCCAUUGUUCCAAUUGUAAAAAGUAAUCUCACAUCUACAGCAAAUUAAGUGCCAGGAAGUUCUAGAGUAGUCACGGUGCUUAUAUUUCAAGCCUGCUAGCACCAAACCCCACAAACUUGCAAUGAUCCGUAUGCGUACAUGGUUUCUUGCCAAUGUAUUGUUGAAAAUCUCGUAUCUUGAUAAUCUAAGGCGGCUUCUUUUAUAUGCAGGUAAAAAUGCUAUGGACACUGUCAGUUCUCAAGUGCAUGGAGAUGAAAAUAGAUGGUCGAGGCAUUGCUGACAACAAGUACGUGUGGAUAAUUAACUUCCCAAUAAACUAUAAAAUGAAGAAAUGUUAAAGUUACAUCAACAACUCUUUACAACCAUUUUGUAUAGGGAGGUUAGCAUUGCAGAGCAGGUGGCUUAUCUAAUCAACAAGACCACAAGCGUUUAUAAUCUCUGCAACUUAACCAACAGGGCGCUUCAAGACUCUGAGGGAGGCCACAUCAGGUAUAACUGAAGACACAUUUGGUAUCUCAUGAAGUUGUUGCACUCAACCAGCCAUUGGUGCUAGAAAGCAGGCUCAAAAGUUUGAAAACGGGCAUGUAUACAAAAAGAGUUCAAGAUUCAACAUUGUGUCUGUCUUAUCCAAAGUACGAUCUUUGGUUUCCAAGAGACAGAUCCAUUUAAUUACUGUUUGUAAUAGAGAAAGCUUGCUUCAGUUCCAUUUAGAGUGAUAAAUUUACUGACUCAUUAUCAUGACUAUAGUUUGCUUUACCAAAAAAAAAAAAAAAACUCUUAUCACUCGAUCAAUAAACUACUAAUCACAGC